rnacentral:lncRNA from 1 species
AUUGGGUAGUAUCAAAUGGGUAAGGGAGGCUUACAAAUAAUGCAUGUGCUGCUGAGGAUAGCAUAAGCCAAAGGAGAAGGACAGGCACUGCAGGAAUGGCCAGGCCAGAGCAUUGGUUAAAGGUAUCAGGAACCGGACUAGAUGUAGAGUACCAUGAUGUGUCUGGAACUAUAUUUGUAAUACAGCUUAGGUAUCCUUGUCUAGUCUAAAAAUAGAUGCUACUGUUAAAAGGGAUGGGUCCUAGAGUGCCAAGGCUUGGCACUUGCAAUCUUAAGAGACCAUCCAGUCCAGUAGUUUUUCCAAGUUAUUUAAUAGUGAAGGGCUUUAGUAUAUAAACAAAAUAUUGGUUGAAUGAAGAACCUACCUACUGAGCUUUCUUGUCAUUCCCAUCCCACCCCAACCAACAAAGAAUGUUUGAAAAACUGAUCCAAUCCUAAUUUUACAGGUUAAACUAAAUUUAGGCCCAGUGUGGUUAAAUUAUUUUCUAAGAGUCAUAACAAGUUAGAAGCAAUUUUGAAACCAGAGAUUCCUAAAUCCAGGUCACUGGUUAGAAGUAGUUUCAGGUACUACUAAAAAGGUAAAGUAUGAUAGUGACAUGCAGUCUUAUUUCUGAGAAGUCAAAGCUGAGUCUUUAACGAAUCAGUCGUCUUAAAUGUUGUUUUGAUAAUGGUCUGAGCAGAGAAUGGCAGGAUAUGGAACAUGCCGCCAAUAAACAAAACCUCAGAGAUGGGAAGGACACAGGAACAAUCACAGAGCAGCAACCGAAUUCUCAUUUCCAAGUAGUCGCCUUUUAAGGAUAAGAACCCACAGAAGUUAAGAGUCAGGCAAAAUUGGGAGGGAAAGAGUAAGAAAGCCAAGUAUUGGAUGUGUGUGAUCUAACCAAGGACAAAUCACAACUCUCCAGACCAAGGCCACUGCAACUGAAAGGUUACAGAACAAAAGAUACUGGACUCCAGCCACACCCUAACUCCAGAGGACUCAGAAGAGAUCUUACCACGACCUCAGCUAGAGAAGCCUACACAGCACACAGGAGCCUGAACUUAGGACCACUUUGUUAGGAAAGGGACCCAGGGACAAGUCACCACUCACUUUAACUUCUUCCCACAUGGGACAACAUAAAAUGUGUAGAGAGACAAAAUCCAUGGGAGCCCCACUAUUUUUGAGAAGCAAGAAUAUCUGCUGCUCUCUGAGCGCCAGGGAUUUCCAAAAUGAAGCACUGCAUACCUCAUAACAGCUCCCACCAAUAGAAGUCAAGCCAAUAUAUCACUAAUUGCCAAAUGACACACAGCAAGUUGCCUACCAGGAUCAAAGUAGGAGAAAAAUAAUGGUAAAAGGAUAUUAACUAUGCCAAGCACAUUCACCAAUCCUCUCUUUAAAAAUUCUAGGAUGAAAUGGUAAUAUGACUGUUUCACAGGUAGCAAAACAGGCUCAGGGAAACUGAGAACUUUCCCAAGAUCUCAAUACCAUUAAGUGAUAAAGACAAGAUUCAGUGCCAGGCCUCCUUUCCCUAUUUAUGCUUCUCACCCAAAGAACAACCUAGAGUGCUAGUGCUGGUCUAGACAAAGAUGUCAAGUGGCAGAUGACACCUCAAAAAGCCUAUUAGCAAAGUACUACACUGUGCUUACCUUUCAAGAAUGAUUUCCUCAUGGGUGACUUUGUUCCACAUUUUUGGAUUUCUCCAUAUAACUGAUUUUAAUCAUCCUGAUGAAAAUAUAUCUAAACUUUAAUGAAUACUUUCCUGCCUACCUUUUAGAUAGUCACUGAACAGAAUUCCAACAGAUUUUCAUGAAUAUCAGUUAUUGUUAUAAUGUAGUGGUCCCCUCUGGGAUUCCCAAGAUGGGAUGAACUAUUUCGGACAUGGCAGAAGUGUUUCUCAGAAUAUUUUCUUUCUCCAAGCCAAGGCCUUCUAUCAACCAUGAAUUCAGAAGUUUACACUAUCCAGAGUUCAGGAGGGCACUAAGAAGACAGAAAGUGAGCUAUCUUGGACAGUCAAGGAGAGACUACCAGAGAAGUCAAAACCCUGAGGAAGACUAGCAGAUGAAAAGGAAAGGAAAGAUGGUUCAUGAAAGGAAUUCCACAAAGACCCAUGGGAGAACAAAAGCAUUGCUGUUACAAAAAAUCAAUGGGACAAAUGGAGAUUGUUGACCAAGUUUCAUGAGAGCUGAGAGGAAAAGAGCUGGAAUGCAAUGCACAGUGAAGAGCCUGGGCCUGACGGAUUCAUGUCUUUGUCUUCCUUUAGAAUGAGGAAGGAGAAAAAGAUGGAGAUAUAUGCAACUGGUUUGUAUCUGGAAUGGUGGAAAGCAAGUAAGGAGUGUUAUCUCUAUUUACCAAUGGGUAACUAGGUUCCAGAAGACUGACUUGCCAAAGGUCACACGGCUAGGUAAUGGCAAAAAAUCUCCUAUCCAAUGCUGUUCACAAAAGACAAGUGUAAUGAACAGUUCAAAAGGUCUAACAGUCCUAAAACUAAUAAAUACAGACCUUAACACGGUCUAGAAACCAA